rnacentral:rRNA from 1 species
UACAUGGGGUGCAAACGUUGCUCGGAAUCACUGGGCGUAAAGCGCACGUAGGCGGAUCCUUAAGUCGGGGGUGAAAUCCUGGAGCUCAACUCCAGAAUUGCCUUCGAUACUGUUUGGCUUGAGACCGGAAGAGGUUAGUGGAACUGCGAGUGUAGAGGUGAAAUUCGUAGAUAUUCGCAAGAACACCAGUGGCGAAGGCGGCUGACUGGUCCGGUUCUGACGCUGAGGCGCGAAAGCGUGGGGAGCAAACAGG